rnacentral:tRNA from 1 species
AGCUCAGUUGGUAGAGCAUCGAAUCUGUCUGGUUUACAAACUUCGUCGAUCGUUUUUUCAAACAACAACAAUACAAGGCGACUGCCGGUUCGGAGUACAUAGGUUAGAGCGCGUCGUGAGAGCGACGAGGUCGCGGGUUCAAGCCCCGCC